rnacentral:rRNA from 1 species
CUGGGGUAAUGCGCGCGCAGGCGGUUGUGUAAGUUAGAUGUGAAAUCCCCGGGCUCACCUGGGAACUGCAUUUGAAACUGUCGGCUAGAGUCUGCAGAGGGGGAUGGAAUUCCAGCGUGUAGCGGUGAAAUGCGUAAUAUCUGGAGGAACACCGGUGGCGAAGGCGUUCCCCUGGGACAAGUACUGACGCUCAUGGCGAAAGCGUGGUGAGCAAACAGGAUUAGAUACCCUGGUAGUCCACGCCGUAAACGAUGUCACUGGUGGGGUGCCCUUGAGACUUGGGUUCCGGAGUUACCGCUUUAAAUCAACCGCCUGGGAAUACGGCCGCAAGUUUAAAACUCAAGGAAUGGACGGGACCCCGCCCAGCGGGGGAAGAAUGGGGUUAAUUCCAAGGCAAGCGAAAACCUUACCUGCUUUGAAAUUUUCGGAAUCCUUCCAAAAAGCGGGAGGUCUUCGGAAAACCUAACCAGGGGCUGUGGCUUCCACCCCCCCUUCCAUGAAAAUUGGUUUAAGUCCCGCAAAAAAGGAACCCCUUUCUUUUUUGCCCCCAAAUUUGACCUAAAUCAGGCCAUUGCCAGGGGUAACCCGGGGAGGUGGGUUUACCCCAAUUUCUUUUUCUUAGGCAAGGUCCCCCCUCCUUGAAAUUAUGGCCCAAUAUGAUUUUCCAAACCCAAGGGCUUCAUUCAAUUUGGAACCCCGUUCCUUAACCCAAUUCAUAUCCAAACCAUUGGGGAGGGAAAAAAAAAA